rnacentral:rRNA from 1 species
CGAAGGGUGCAAGCGUUACUCGGAAUUACUGGGCGUAAAGCGUGCGUAGGUGGUCUGUUAAGUCUGAUGUGAAAGCCCUGGGCUCAACCUGGGAAUUGCAUUGGAUACUGGCAGGCUAGAGUGCGGUAGAGGAUGGCGGAAUUCCCGGUGUAGCAGUGAAAUGCGUAGAGAUCGGGAGGAACAUCUGUGGCGAAGGCGGCCAUCUGGACCAGCACUGACACUGAGGCACGAAAGCGUGGGGAGCAAACAGGAUUAGAUACCCUGGUAGUCCACGCCCUAAACGAUGCGAACUGGAUGUUGGGAGCAACUAGGCUCUCAGUAUCGAAGCUAACGCGUUAAGUUCGCCGCCUGGGGAGUACGGUCGCAAGACUG